rnacentral:lncRNA from 1 species
GGGGGGUUUCUCACCAUGUUCCUUUGGAGGUUGCUGUGGCUCUUCAUGUUCAUGGGGUGGUUUAUGUUCCGGCAGUGGCUUCUCUCCUUUACCCUUAGGAGGCUCCUGGGGUGGUUUAUGCUCUGGAAAUGGCUUUCCUCCUUUACCUUCAUCAUCCUCCAUCAAAAUGUGUCCAGGGUGAGGAUCAUGAGGAGGCUUAUCCUCUUUGGGUGGUUUCUCACCAUGUUCCUUUGGAGGUUGUUGUGGUCCUUCAUGUUCUGGAGGUGGUUUCUCUCCCUUACCCUUAGGAGGCUCUUGGGGUGGUUCGUGUUCUAGAGGUGGCUUCUCUCCCUUACCUUUAGGAAGCUCUUGGGGUGGUUUCUCACCAUGUUCCUUUGGAGGUUGUUGUGGUCCUUCAUGUUCAUGGGGUGGUUCAUGUUCUGGAGGUGGCUUCUCUCCCUUACCCUUAGGAGGCUCUUGGGGUGGCUUCUCUCCCUGACCUUUAGGAGGCUCUUGCUGCGGUUUAUGCUCUGGGAAUGGUUUCCCUCCUCUACCCUCAUCAUCCUCUAUCAAAAUGUGUCCAGGAUGAGGAUCAUGUGGAGGUUUCUGCUCCGGUGGUGGCUUUUCACCCUUUCCUCUAGGUGGCUCUUGUGGCUCCUCAUGUUCAGGAGGUGGUUUAUCGCCUUUACCCCUAGGAGGCUCAUGAGGUGGUUCUUGUUCUGGAG